AAGCAAAACCCGUCCCCACAGACAUGCU
rnacentral:piRNA from 1 species